rnacentral:lncRNA from 1 species
GUACAGAAGGGCUGUAAAACAGAUUCUCCAUCUUCAGUCAGAAGGGCUGUAACAGAUUCUCCAUCUUCAGCCAGAAGGGCUGUAACAGUUUCUCCAUCUUCAGUCAGAAGGGCUGUAACAGAUUCUCCAUCUUCAGUCAGAAGGGCCCUGUAACAGAUUCUCCAAUCUCAGUCAGAAAGGGCCCUGUAGACAGAUUCUUCAUCUUCAUCAGAAGGCUGU